rnacentral:rRNA from 1 species
CGGAAGGUCCGGGCGUUAUCCGGAUUUAUUGGGUUUAAAGGGAGCGUAGGCUGUCUAUUAAGCGUGUUGUGAAAUUUACCGGCUCAACCGGUGGCUUGCAGCGCGAACUGGUCGACUUGAGUAUGCAGGAAGUAGGCGGAAUUCAUGGUGUAGCGGUGAAAUGCUUAGAUAUCAUGACGAACUCCGAUUGCGCAGGCAGCUUACUGUAGCAUAACUGACGCUGAUGCUCGAAAGUGCGGGUAUCAAACAGGAUU